rnacentral:rRNA from 1 species
GACGAACGCUGGCGGCGUGCUUAACACAUGCAAGUCGAACGGAAAGGCCCUGCUUGCAGGGUACUCGAGUGGCGAACGGGUGAGUAACACGUGGGUGAUCUGCCCUGCACUUCGGGAUAAGCCUGGGAAACUGGGUCUAAUACCGGAUAGGAGCCAUUUUUAGUGUGAUGGUUGGAAAGUUUUUUCGGUGUAGGAUGAGCUCGCGGCCUAUCAGCUUGUUGGUGGGGUAAUGGCCUACCAAGGCGGCGACGGGUAGCCGGCCUGAGAGGGUGGACGGCCACAUUGGGACUGAGGUGCGGCCCAGGCUCCUACGGGAGGCAGCAGUGGGGAAUAUUGCACAAUGGGCGCAAGCCUGAUGCAGCGACGCCGCGGGGGGGAUGACGGCCUUCGGGUUGUAAACUCCUUUCGCUAGGGACGAAGCUUUUUGUGACGGUACCUAGAUAAGAAGCACCGGCUAACUACGUG